rnacentral:lncRNA from 1 species
CGGGAGUUCAGGGAGCGCUGCGGACUGCAGAGCCAGGGGACGUGUCAGCACUUCUGGUUGAGGACACAACUCUGACACCCCAAGGCCUUGUGGACAGCCUCACACCUUAAAGUCAGAGAGGGUGAUGUUGAGACCAAGAUGAAACCAUGCAGAAGAUCCAUCAGGUGCCUUGCGGGGGGGUAAGCCUCAAACAGCAAAUGAAGUCCAGGGAGGCUGUCCGAUGCAGGCCAGACACCAUUGCUGUCUUCUCUUCUGGAACCCAAACUCAGAGCCACAUCCAAACUGCAAUGAAGCAAGCGUUUUGGUUUGUGUGAUUUACAACCUCAACCAAAAACUGAUAUUGGUGAAUAAUCCAGGACGGGGAAAAGGGCUGACGUGUCAGGAGGAGGUAAGAAAAUAGACAUGUAUUUCAUGUAUGCUCUUG